GCCUUCGUGGUGUAGUGGUCUGCAUGCUCGCCGCAUAACCGAGAGGUCAGUGGUUCGAUUCCCGGCAAAGGCA
rfam:Stegodyphus mimosarum contig89169, whole genome shotgun sequence.